ACGCCGUAAUGCGGAUGCUGCCCAGGCCAUUGUCCAGGCCGGCCCCAUCCCGCGGCCAUCACGGAUGGAGGGGAAGGAAAGGACAAGCAUCCGUGUUGCCUUGGGCAGCGGCGGCGGUGACCCAUGGCACCAAGAGCAGAUGAGAGAUCGAGGUAGCUGCUUGGAUGCGAGAUGGAUUGACGGAGACCAUGUCCUGCUGGUGGGUCUGUUGCUCUCGGCGUGAGUGUCCACCAGCCGUAAUCCGUAUCAGCAUUUCAUCAAGGCGCAUGCAGUGUAUUCAGCACUGGUUGACAACUUCUACUGUUGGGCAAAUUUCAGUUCUGAACAAGUCGAUUUGCCGUCCUGGGCCGGGCGAUGUUUCCCUCGCGGACCUCAUCGGUGACCUCAGGGGUCUUGCGUUGGAGAACCCUCGUGCUCUUCUUGUUUGUUCAAAAACAGGGAAACUGGUAUACUUCAAUCUUUCUUACUAUUGCGUGAUCAGGAACUGCAUCAACAGAUAGCAUAAAUGAAGGUAGUCUGCUAUCUCCAUGUGAGUCCUUGGUUGCCCCUAUCGUGGGGCCGAUGACUGGGUGGAGUGCGAGUUGGAAAAUGAAUCCACUGCUGCUUCUUUCCCGCUUCAGUCGAUGCUUGUACGUUCCCAAUCAUAUUCCGGGAGCUCCAAAAGCUGUCGAAACAUUUUCAAAGACCAAAGUGGAUGCUGGAGGCGUAGCCUGACUGUGGCUGAAGUUCUAAUUUGCUGGUGUGGCGCUGUACCGCAAUACUGGCAUAUGGACAUAUGGUGAUACCUUUGGAAUGGCUUAGUGGCGACCCAAGAUCUACUGCCCAAGCAUGCCUCUCUAGGAGCACUGUUCAGGGCUGGUCAUGGCCCAAGUUCAGGGAUGCCAGCAAGGAGGACGCCUAGAUCAUGCUUACCUUGGUCUCCACUUGCUCAAGCGUUUCGCACGCUUUAAGUGAUAAUGAGAGAAAGGAUGCGUUUUUUCAGCUUUGUAUAGCAUAAUAGCAUGUAAAUUUAGCUGUGCUAGCAAGACUCGUGUGAAAAGUUAUUACGAAAUGGCGAGAAAGCAAAAUUAAGCAAAUAAAGCAUAAUCCGACUUGGUUGA